GAUGAAGAACGUAGUGAAAUGCGAUAAGUAAUGUGAAUUGCAGAAUUCAGUGAAUCAUCGAAUCUUUGAACGCACAUUGCGCCCAUUAGUAUUCUAGUGGGCAUGCCUGUUCGAGCGUCAUUUCAACCCUCAAGCCCCCGGGCUUGGUGUUGGGGAUCGGCGAGCCUCCGCGCCCGCCGUCCCCUAAAUCUAGUGGCGGUCUCGCUGUAGCUUCCUCUGCGUAGUAGCACACCUCGCACUGGGAAACAGCGCGGCCACGCCGUUAAACCCCCAACUUCUGAACGUUUGACCUCGGAUCAGGUAGGAAUACCCGCUGAACUUAAGCAUAUCAAUAAGCGGAGGA
rnacentral:misc_RNA from 1 species